CUUUACUGUAACUUGAAAUUGAAAUUGGACUUUAUUUGCGCAGUAUAGGUGGGAGGCGUUGAGUAGAUUCUUGCGGGAAUUUAGGAGCCAUCAGUGAGAUACCACUCUGGUAAUGUUAGAUUUCUAACUUUGGAUCAUUAUCUGGUCAAAGAACAGUUUCAGGCGGGCAGUUUGACUGGGGCGGUCGCCUCCCAAAUGGUAACGGAGGCGUACAAAGGUUUCCUCUGAACGUGUAGAAAUCGUAUCUAGAGUGUAAAGGCAUAAGGAAGCUUGACUGUGAGACCUACAAGUCGAGCAGGGACGAAAGUCGGUCUUAGUGAUCUGACGGCGCUGAGUGGAAAGGCCGCCACUCAACGGAUAAAAGUUA
rnacentral:rRNA from 1 species